UAUACCACAACCACACAAAAGCUGCUCCUGAUGGCCUCUGAUCUGAAAACACUGCAGCAGGAAAUCUCCUCUAGAGAUUUAUUUGACAGAAUGAGCUCAUCCUCUGGCUGAAGUCUUUGCAUACCUAUUGGACUGGCAGAUCAGAAUAACUGCACCAACAUGGGCAAGCAUGUGAUCUGACUUUUGUGACGGUUUUAUGACUUUUUUCAAGUUUGAAGAGCCACUCAGGUUAUGUACUCAGGUUCAUUGCAAUUGAAAAUAUAUUCCAGUGGAGAAGGUCAAUAACAAAAAUAUAAGAAGUCAUCCAACAGUCAGGAAAACCUGCCAGUUUUCUUCUGCAUUUUCAGCUGAAAAGGAUGAGAGAGCAGACAGAGUGAGGGACUGUCUGGGACAGGAGUGGGGUCAUCUCAGCAUGGAAAGCCAAUGAUGGUGUCACAGUCUCCAGAUUUAGCUGCUGUGAAAAGCUGAGCCACCAGGUUUAUUUUCUGUUUGUGAGAAAAUAUUGCCAACCAAGAAAAUCUGAGUAGUCUUUUCCACACCUAGGACUGAGCUGGGUAACACAUCAGGGAAAAUGUUUGAUCUGUGCUCAGAGCUGUGCAGUAUUGCCUUGCAAAGCUGUGUUUUGUUCCUUGGUUCUCCUAAUUGUGGAGGAAGGCUUUUCAGAUGGACAUUCCCAUACAAAUGUCCCAAACAGAAAUUGCUAAAAGAAGGACCUUCAGUGGGGAAUUUGUGGAAGCAAUGGCUUAAAUUAAAACUAUAGUGUUUGCAAUCCCACACAGCUGUGCUGCAAUCCCAAACAUCAAUCCUGCAAUCCCACACAUGUCAGUUCAGCAUGGAGCAAAGGAAGCUCAGGGGAACCUUCUGUCUCUGCACAACUCCCUGACAGGAGGGGACAGCCAGGGGGGGUCGGGCUCUGCUGCCAGGGAACAGG